CACGAACUGUGCAAACGUUAUUCGGAAUCACUGGGCUUAAAGAGUUCGUAGGCGGCACGUUAAGUCGGGUGUGAAAUCCCUCGGCUCAACCGAGGAAUUGCGUCCGAAACUGGCGUGCUUGAGUAAGAUAGAGGUGAGCGGAACUGAUGGUGGAGCGGUGAAAUGCGUUGAUAUCAUCAGGAACACCGGUGGCGAAAGCGGCUCACUGGGUCUUUACUGACGCUGAGGAACGAAAGCUAGGGGAGCGAACGGG
rnacentral:rRNA from 1 species